rnacentral:rRNA from 1 species
UACAGAGGGUGCAAGCGUUAAUCGGAAUUACUGGGCGUAAAGGGCGCGUAGGCGGUUGAAUAAGUGAGGUGAUAAAGACAUGGGCUUAACCUAUGGGUGACGCCUUAGACUGUUCGACUAGAGACGAGGAGAGGGGAGUGGAAUUUCCGGAGGAGUGGUGAAAUACGUAGAUAUUCGCAAGAACACCAGUGGCGAAGGCGGCUCACUGGCCCGAUACUGACGCUGAGGCACGAAAGCGUGGGGAGCAAACAGG